rnacentral:rRNA from 1 species
UUUGGUUAAGUUAGAAAGGGCGCACGGUGGAUGCCUUGACACUAGGAGUCGAUGAAGGACGGGACUAACGCCGAUAUGCUUCGGGGAGCUGUAAGUAAGCUUUGAUCCGAAGAUUUCCGAAUGGGGAAACCCACCAUACGUAAUGGUAUGGUAUCCUUAUCUGAAUACAUAGGGUAAGGAAGACAGACCCAGGGAACUGAAACAUCUAAGUACCUGGAGGAAGAGAAAGCAAAUGCGAUUUCCUGAGUAGCGGCGAGCGAAACGGAACAUAGCCCAAACCAAGAGGCUUGCCUCUUGGGGUUGUAGGACAUUCUAUACGGAGUUACAAAGGAACGAGGUAGACGAAGCGACCUGGAAAGGUCCGUCGUAGAGGGUAACAACCCCGUAGUCGAAACUUCGUUCUCUCUUGAAUGUAUCCUGAGUACGGCGGAACACGUGAAAUUCCGUCGGAAUCUGGGAGGACCAUCUCCCAAGGCUAAAUACUCCCUAGUGAUCGAUAGUGAACCAGUACCGUGAGGGAAAGGUGAAAAGCACCCCGGAAGGGGAGUGAAAGAGAUCCUGAAACCGUGUGCCUACAAAUAGUCAGAGCCCGUUAACGGGUGAUGGCGUGCCUUUUGUAGAAUGAAC